rnacentral:lncRNA from 10 species
AGAAGAGCUCAGAAAGCCACAAAGGAAACUGAAGAGUAGCAGGAAAACCAGGGGGCAAUAAGAUGUAUAAGCAAGGAAGGAGUGAAAAUCAAAGGGCAAAAUGGCUCAUAGGAAACUACAAACUGAGAAGUGCCUCCUAGAUGUGGCCAUCAGAUCAAUGGAGCUACCUGAGCGCACUUUCACUAAGGCAGUGAGGGGAAACCCACAUCUCAGGGUUAAAGAUGGAGUAGAAUUUACAUAUCAGCAGCUCUUUCAAGAACUCUGGCUGGAAAUGUGGCAAAAUAUUGAAUCUGGGUGAAUCAGGUAGCCGGGUUCCUGCCCACUGCUCACAGGACCAGCUUUGUCUCAGGACACAGAGGCUCUAUUGGCCAGUGGAGCUAUAAAGACAUGAAGUCCUUCUAUCAAGGAAGCCAGAAGCAUGAAUGAGUGACCUCCAUUUUUGUGGUACAGAAACCAAGUCUUGCAGAAAAAGUGGAACAGACAAAUACAGGGAAACCAAGAAAGAGCUGAACAGAGGAAAUGCCUUUUAAGUCUUCUAAAGGUAAGUCUUCAUUUUACUUGAGUGCUAUGACUGAGUUUCUAAUCCUAGUGACCAGGCAAUUCCUGUCUCGGCCAUACCUAUGGCCCAACCAAAGUUCUGAGGGGUCAGGGAGCCUCUUAAUUCAGAAUCAAACUUUAUGACAGAACAAAACAAUAGGCUUUUGAACUUUUACACAGCCUCUGCUAAAUGCUACUAGAGAUAGAUGAAUAGACAUGCAUGAAGUUUACUAUGUGCCUGCCAGAUAUUUAAACCUUGUUAUUUAAUCCUCAC